AGCCUAAUAAUGCAGUCGAGCGAACAGACGAGGAGCUUGCUCCUCUGACGUUAGCGGCGGACGGGUGAGUAACACGUGGAUAACCUACCUAUAAGACUGGGAUAACUUCGGGAAACCGGAGCUAAUACCGGAUAACAUGUUGAACCGCAUGGUUCAACAGUGAAAGACGGUCUUGCUGUCACUUAUAGAUGGAUCCGCGCCGCAUUAGCUAGUUGGUAAGGUAACGGCUUACCAAGGCAACGAUGCGUAGCCGACCUGAGAGGGUGAUCGGCCACACUGGAACUGAGACACGGUCCAGACUCCUACGGGAGGCAGCAGUAGGGAAUCUUCCGCAAUGGGCGAAAGCCUGACGGAGCAACGCCGCGUGAGUGAAGAAGGUCUUCGGAUCGUAAAACUCUGUUAUUAGGGAAGAACAAAUGUGUAAGUAACUAUGCACGUCUUGACGGUACCUAAUCAGAAAGCCACGGCUAACUACGUGCCAGCAGCCGCGGUAAUACGUAGGUGGCAAGCGUUAUCCGGAAUUAUUGGGCGUAAAGCGCGCGUAGGCGGUUUUUUAAGUCUGAUGUGAAAGCCCACGGCUCAACCGUGGAGGGUCAUUGGAAACUGGAAAACUUGAGUGCAGAAGAGGAAAGUGGAAUUCCAUGUGUAGCGGUGAAAUGCGCAGAGAUAUGGAGGAACACCAGUGGCGAAGGCGACUUUCUGGUCUGUAACUGACGCUGAUGUGCGAAAGCGUGGGGAUCAAACAGGAUUAGAUACCCUGGUAGUCCACGCCGUAAACGAUGAGUGCUAAGUGUUAGGGGGUUUCCGCCCCUUAAGGCUGCAGCUAACGCAUUAAGCACUCCGCCUGGGGAGUACGACCGCAAGGUUGAAACUCAAAGAAAUUGACAGGGACCGGCACC
rnacentral:rRNA from 1 species